CUGGGUGGACUCUCAGCAGAAGCGGUAUGUUCCAGUAAAAGGAGACCAUGUGAUUGGCAUAGUGACAGCUAAAUCUGGAGAUAUAUUCAAAGUUGAUGUUGGAGGGAGUGAGCCAGCUUCUUUGUCUUACUUGUCAUUUGAAGGUGCAACUAAAAGAAACAGACCAAAUGUGCAGGUUGGAGAUCUCAUCUAUGGCCAAUUUGUGGUUGCUAAUAAAGACAUGGAACCAGAGAUGGUCUGUAUUGACAGCUGUGGACGAGCCAAUGGAAUGGGUGUCAUUGGACAGGAUGGUCUGCUUUUUAAAGUGACUCUGGGCUUAAUUAGAAAGUAAGUCCUGAUGUCUGCUGGCUUGACUGCUUUUUAUAAUUAUACAUUCUUGGAAAGUUGGUUAAUCUUCAGGAUUCAGAUUCUUUGUAACAUUUGAAUUUCUCCUCAGAGUUAGAAAUCAGUAUCCAUUUUAACACAUUUGGAAACUCAUGAAUUUAAUCCUAUCUUCUUGGAAACAUAUC
rnacentral:sRNA from 1 species